UUCUUGCCGGUCCUGAACUUGAUGUAC
rnacentral:sRNA from 1 species